AUUGAACGCUGGCGGCAGGCCUAACACAUGCAAGUCGAACGGUAACAGGAAGAAGCUUGCUUCUUUGCUGACGAGUGGCGGACGGGUGAGUAAUGUCUGGGAAACUGCCUGAUGGAGGGGGAUAACUACUGGAAACGGUAGCUAAUACCGCAUAACGUCGCAAGACCAAAGAGGGGGACCUUCGGACCUCUUGCCAUCGGAUGUUCCCAGAUGGGAUUAGCUAGUAGGUGGGGUAACGGCUCACCUAGGCGACGAUCCCUAGCUGGUCUGAGAGGAUGACCAGCCACACUGGAACUGAGACACGGUCCAGACUCCUACGGGAGGCAGCAGUGGGGAAUAUUGCACAAUGGGCGCAAGCCUGAUGCAGCCAUGCCGCGUGUAUGAAGAAGGCCUUCGGGUUGUAAAGUACUUUCAGCGGGGAGGAAGGGAGUAAAGUUAAUACCUUUGCUCAUUGACGUUACCCGCAGAAGAAGCACCGGCUAACUCCGUG
rnacentral:rRNA from 1 species